rnacentral:tRNA from 1 species
GCGCCCGUAGCUCAGCUGGAUAGAGCACUGCCCUCCGAAGGCAGGGGUCGUGAGUUCGAAUCUCGCCGGGCGCGCCA